rnacentral:lncRNA from 1 species
ACAUAGGUUGGUUGCUGUGGCACCUGUUCGAUAUCCCGUAGAAAUAUUUGCUGGUUCCUGGAGACAGAUGUGGAUCUGUGAUAAUCUACCAGCUCGUUCAAAGAAUUGAACUUCACCACCCAGAGGAAAUACUUGCCAGCCCCAUCUCUAAGCACCUUGAAGUGCUGCACAUCAUUUCCAAACUUGACUGAGAGGGAGAAGUCCCCAGGAGCACUCUCACUCUCCCUGAUAAGGAAGGCACCAUCGUGUCUCUGUUUGCCUAACAUCUCUUCAGCCUUUGCUCGGGGAAUCUUUCCAAAAAACCACGGAUGUGGUUUCAUUUCUAUAUAGUUCUUGGGAAUGAAGCCAUCUUUUCCAUUGAGUUCUGCCUUGUACCAAUUCUGAUCACAUUCUUCAUUCAAAACCUUAAGUAUAUCCCCCCGUUUGAAGCUCAGCUCGUCAUCUGCUGUAGCUUUGAAGUCGUAUUUGGCGAUGGCUUCCAUGCUGGGGCUGCCGCGCCAGGCGGUGCAGGCAGUGGGAAGGAAGCACUCCCCGCAGCCUCCUUUCCUCCCGCGGCGGCUCCCGGCUCAGCCCUCCCGCGGUCCGGCUCCGUUCGAGGCGCCGGCCCCGUCUCUCACAUACAGGGGAGGCCAGGGGACGAUCCGCCCGCGCAACGCUGGGGGCCGCCGCCCCGCCCGAGGCUUCUCGUCGCCUGCUCGUCCCUCCAGCGCCGCCUCAGUUGCCACCUGAGCUCCAACCCCGUCCCACGGUUCCCCCUCCCCCGCUGCAGCAGCCGCCGCCGCCGUCCCCUCAGUAACUCUCGCGAGAGUGGCCCUGUCAGCCGCUCGCUACUCCGCCCGCUGCGGAUGCGGCGCCUGCGCGCUCACCUCCCGCGUGAAAGAAGGGCAGCGGCCUUCGCGCAUGCGCAGCUCACACGGACAGUUAGCGGAACCGGCUUCCGUAAGGGGGGCGACGUAGGUGCAGCCUCGCUCGGCCGAAGCAUCGAGCUCUCCUCGGGGAAACGAGCGGCAUUCGUAAUGUAUUCAUUACCCCAAUGGAAAGAAGGAGGAAACCAUGGCUACGGGAAAUUCGACGUGAAACCACUCGGGAUUUUUAAAAUUCUUUAUUUAUCUAAAGAUAUUUGCCUCCUUUAUCUGUGCCUCUGCUCUUCUGGAAGACGUGGAGGCCUACGCACCAUGUAGUUAACAUGAAGUGCACUUGGAAAGUUACUACUAGGGAAAAUUGCACCCCAGCAUGAGUGCUGUGCUCCUCAGCCUGUGUUGGAACUGAGAGGAUGCACAGCUGCACACCUGGUGCUCUACAACCAUCUAUUCUGAGCUAUGCUGAGGCACCCAUGCUGUAGGGAAAAAAAGGCAUUAAAAUAUGCACAGAGGGCAGAAUCCAGACUGCACGUGCAGCUCAUUCCAAGGUUUAAUUAUAUGGCCUUCUUGUAAUUCUUUUAGCUCCAAGAGGCUGUAAUUACAGUACUCAGUUCCUCAAUAAGACAAGCACAUAAAGAAGAUUUCUUCAUGCUCUAGAGAGAAAAGCUAUUUCUGAAACAGAGGCUUUCCAGAACUAUACUCCCAAUCUUAAAAGGAGGCAUUUAUACAAUAAAUUCUCUUGCCAGUUCCCCAAAACAAGCAAUGAUCAGCCACAAGCAAACUACAGAGGGUUCUCCCCCCCUUAUUUUCAAGAAAUUAUUUCUCACCUGAGAAGUAGCUGAGAUUGGGAACAUGGGGUCUAAGCACAGCACGUAACAAAGUGCUGAGCUCACACCUGGGCUCAUCUAAAUUGAGGAUUAUUCUGACUGAAGUCUGAUUACAUCUAAGUUCAGAUUACAGAAGUGAUAUUUUGUUUUAUGACAGUUUUAUGAAGUAUUCUCAGCCCUCAGUUAAGCCCCCCCCUUAAAAAAAAAAAAAGCAAAACACAAACACCAAACUGGUUCAACUCUCUUGAAAGGAACGGAUUCAGGGUUUUGUCCACCCCAAGCUGAGAACAUCAAAAUGCAUACUGUUACUUCAUAUAAUUCUCCUUAUAAACCAUACUUUGCAAGCAUUGUCUGGUAACAUUUUCAAUAUAAAUGUUUAAGCAGCUUAAUGAUGAUUCAUGAGAGGGUUGUUUUUCUGUUUUGUUUUUUUUUGUUUGUUUGUUUUGUUUUUAACAUUUUAGUAUGAAAUGUGGUUUAAACCCUUUGCAAAUUGUUUUCUCCUACUAGCAUUGUAUUUAAGGGAUUCUAAUUCUAAUUCCUUCCCAGAUUUGGGGAUUAGGGGAAGGUAUGAAUUCUUCUAAUACUUCAAUCAAAAAUUGGAAAGGGUGGAGAAAAAGAGCUUUGGGAGUUCAGGAUAUUACAAAUGUUUCAGACAUUCUUUCUGAGGAUGCAAAAGUAAUUUAUCUAGGUUGACACAGACUGCUGAAAUCAGAGCUAGAUUCUAAGAUGUCU